UACGGAGGGUGCAAGCGUUGCUCGGAAUUACUGGGCGUAAAGGGCGUGUAGGCGGUUUGUUAAGUCUGGCGUGAAAGCUCUCGGCUAAACCGGGAGAGGUCGUUGGAUACUGGCAGACUAGAGGACGGUAGAGGCGUGUGGAAUUCCGGGUGUAGUGGUGAAAUGCGUAGAGAUCCGGAAGAACACCGGUGGCGAAGGCGGUCUGCUGGGGUAAUGCUGACACUGAGGCGCGACAGCGUGGGGGAGCAAACAGG
rnacentral:rRNA from 1 species